rnacentral:lncRNA from 1 species
AUUAUGAUUAUAUAUGUGCCUUCUUUUUAUUGCUUUCAGAAAAUUCCAUCUCAUGUUUAAAUGAUCAAGCAGUGUAGUAAGAAAAUAUCAUUGUACCUAAAUACUUCCUACAGAUGGACAUAAUCCUUCAAAGUGAUAGAUUAAAGGAAGAAAAAUCGGAUUUUCUGUUGCUUAAUGUUAAGUUCGGUUAAAACUUGGCCACAACAUUUUCUGCACAUGAACCUUUGCUGAGGAAUUCUGUCGUAUUCUGAUUUCACUAAUUUGAAAGGCUUUUGAGUUGCCUUUGGACGUGAUGCGAUUUACUCUUACGAAUCACAAGGUAUGUUACUAUACCGUAUUUGAACAGAUGGUUUCAUGUUGUUAUUGCAAUCACUAUGUAAUGGCUAAAGAUUGAAAUCUUUCUAAUUACCUUGGAGUAGACAAUUUUGAGACAUUCUUCUUUUGCAAUGAAAAUUGUAUUUUUCGCAAAGUAUCUUCCUUAUAAGUAUGUUAGCGACCAACAAUACUUUUGGGAAAAUGGAAAUAGGAUUUUCAAACAUGGACUUUAUCUAGAAGUAUAUUUUGUGCUAGUGAUGUUCUUUAAGGCUAGGUUUGUGACAAGAUUGAGUUCCUUAAUUUUUGGAAGAAAUCAUGAGAGUUAUAGAACAUAUAUAAUAUUUUGCUGUUCAAAAUCGUAGUCUGCGGCAGUUGCAUUUUUCGAGUGAGCUCUUGAUUUUUGGCAAGAAAUUCAUCACUUGAAUAAGUAGGCAGCCAAGGCCAUAUGGCUGAGCGGCACCUUUACUUCAGAACAUAUAUGAACAUGCAUAUUUUAUAAAGGAAAACAAAUAUUCUUGCCAUCUUAGAAAUAUAAUCCACCACAGACAAUUCCAUCUAAUUGCUGCAGGAAUAGUUCUAUCCCGAGCAGUGGCAUCCUUCACUGCCUUGGCUAAGAAUGUGAUGGUCUUGACUCUUGAGGUUUGGUUAAACAUACUUGAUUUAAGCUUCAUUCCUGAUUCUAAGGAACAAACCAGGUUGGGGAAGAUGGGUAAGAUGACAUGACUAUCCAAGCUCCAUAUCAACUUAUCCAUUUAAAUUCACAUAAUUUUAUAAGCUUUUAGGGAAAUAGGAUGUUCAAGGUAAUUCUUUUCUACUAACCCGCGAUGAUUAAACUUCUUAAAGCCUAAAGAAAGAUGAACUGAGCUGAAAUAUGGUACAAUGAUGUUAUCUCAUAGAAGUACAUUGUAAGAAUCGUAAUAUGUGGUUUCGUACUAUGUUGUUAUAUUAUUUACAAACUGCUGCAUUUAAACCCCAUAAAAAUGGGGGUAGUAAAUAAAGCUCUUAUCGUGUGAGGUAACAAAACCUAUAGUAAAAAAAGAAACAAUAAUACCUAUUACUUUGAUUACUACAAGAUUAAAUAUCUAAGGAUAUGCAUUAAAAUGACUAAAAUCAGAAAAUAAGCCAUCAUAGUCUCAUAAGAUAGGUUUGCUUCAGGAUUCAAAACCACAGCAGGAGAGUGAGGAGAUAUAAUGAGGAG